UAGGGCGUGGCCGAGACAGUCAGGCAACUUGUUUACACCAAGCCUACACCCAUGCAAGUUGGGUCGUCCUAA
rnacentral:tRNA from 2 species